AACGAACGCUGGCGGCAUGCCUAACACAUGCAAGUCGAACGAGACCUUCGGGUCUAGUGGCGCACGGGUGCGUAACGCGUGGGAACCUUCCCUUAGGUUCGGAAUAACUCCCCGAAAGGGGUGCUAAUACCGGAUAAUGUCUUCGGACCAAUGAUUUAUUGCCUUUGGUUGGGCCCGCGUUGGAUUAGCUCGUUGGUAGGGUAAAAGCCUACCAAGGCGACGAUCAGUAGCUGGUCUGAGAGGAUGAUCAGCCACACUGGGACUGAGACACGGCCCAGAAUCCUACGGGAUGCAGCAGUGGGGAAUAUUGGACAAUGGGCGAAAGCCUGAUCCAGCAAUGCCGCGUGAGUGAUGAAGGCCUUAGGGUUGUAAAGCUCUUUUACCCGGGAUGAUAAUGACAGUACCGGGAGAAUAAGCUCCGGCUAACUCCGUG
rnacentral:rRNA from 1 species